ACAGAGGGUGCAAGCGUUGUUCGGAAUCAUUGGGCGUAAAGCGCACGUAGGCGGUCGUGUAAGUCAGAUGUGAAAGCCCUGGGCUCAACCCAGGAAGUGCAUCUGAUACUGCACGACUUGAGUCCCGGAGGGGGUGGUGGAAUUCCUGGUGUAGAGGGGAAAUUCGUAGAUAUCAGGAGGAAAACCGGUGGCGAAGGCGACCACCUGGACGGAGACUGACGCU
rnacentral:rRNA from 1 species